UUGCAUGAGCAGCCCCUCCUGUGCAGAGGGUGGGGAGAAAAGGGGGCCUGGGGCAGCCCAGCCCCACUGUGGGGACCAGGGCUGUGUCCACCAUGGCCUGGGCUGCUGUCCUCCUCCUGAUCCUCUCUCACUGCUCAGGUUCCCUCUCCCAGCCUGUGCUGACUCAGCCGCCCUCCCUCUCUGCAUCCCUGGGAGCAUCAGCCAGACUCACCUGCACCCUGAGCAGUGGCAUCAAUGUUGGUGGCUAUACCAUAUACUGGUACCAGCAGAAGCCAGGGAGCCCUCCCCGGUACCUCCUGUAUUACUACUCAGACUCAAGUAAACACCAGGGCUCCGGGGUCCCCAGUCGCUACUCUGGAUCCAAAGGCGCCUCCGCCAAUGCAGGGAUCCUGCACAUCUCUGGGCUGCAGGCCGAGGACGAGGCUGACUAUUACUGUGGCAUAUGGUACAGCAAUGCUUCUCACAGUGACACAAGCUGAUGGGGAAGUGGGACA